rnacentral:rRNA from 1 species
GACGAACGCUGGCGGCGUGCCUAAUACAUGCAAGUAGAACGCUGAAGAGAGGAGCUUGCUCUUCUUGGAUGAGUUGCGAACGGGUGAGUAACGCGUAGGUAACCUGCCUUGUAGCGGGGGAUAACUAUUGGAAACGAUAGCUAAUACCGCAUAACAAUAGGUGACACAUGUCAUUUAUUUGAAAGGGGCAAUUGCUCCACCACAAGAUGGACCUGCGUUGUAUUAGCUAGUAGGUGAGGUAACGGCUCACCUAGGCGACGAUACAUAGCCGACCUGAGAGGGUGAUCGGCCACACUGGGACUGAGACACGGCCCAGACUCCUACGGGAGGCAGCAGUAGGGAAUCUUCGGCAAUGGGGGCAACCCUGACCGAGCAACGCCGCGUGAGUGAAGAAGGUUUUCGGAUCGUAAAGCUCUGUUGUAAGUCAAGAACGAGUGUGAGAGUGGAAAGUUCACACUGUGACGGUAGCUUACCAGAAAGGGACGGCUAACUACGUG